AGUCAUUGGGUAAUUAAAAACUCAAAGGCGAAAUAAAAGUAAAGAGUUGAGUUUAUGAUAAAGAAUUUAUUUUUUUUUCAUUUCUCUCUUAAGGGAAGAUGAAAAUUUAAUUAAUAAUAUAUUUUUAAUAUUUUAUUAAUAUAAAUUUUUCGCACUCCCAGGGCGCUUGUUUCACGCUUUGCGUGUCAAUGCGCACCUAGAGCGUACACGCUGAUACCCGAAAGAUGGUGAACUAUGCCUGGCCAGGACGAAGCCAGGGGAAACCCUGGUGGAGGUCCGCAGCGAUUCUGACGUGCAAAUCGAUCGUCGGAGCUGGGUAUAGGGGCGAAAGACCAAUCGAACCAUCUAGUAGCUGGUUCCCUCUGAAGUUUCCCUCAGGAUAGCUUGCGCUCGGUUGAGAAGAGUCUCAUCCGGUAGAGCGAAUGAUUAGAGGCAUUGGGGUCGAAACGACCUCAACCUAUUCUCAAACUCCAAAUAGAUGAGACCCCUGGCUUUCUUAAAAUUGAAGCCGUGGGAAUAGGAUCAGAGUGCCCAAGUGGGCCAAUUUUGGUA
rnacentral:rRNA from 1 species